UACGUCCGCGACGGUUUCGGCAAGCUGAAACGUCAUUACAAUUUAAGAUCAUUCUCGAAGUACAAACGUGCAAAUUGUUAGGUAAUCUUCUGAUACGGGCGAUAGGCUGGUGGUUGAUAACAAUUCUCUUAAAAUUUAUUUAAUUUUUGCCGUCGUUAUUUGGAAUUAAGCGAUCAUCGACGAUUAAUCACCUAGUUUGAGGUUAAGUCAUAUCUGCAAACCUGCUGAACAGGGUGAUUGGGAGUGAAUUCAUCUCAAUCGAUGAUAGGUAGACAAAUGUAAGUGGGUUAAAUUUAACAUGCGAUUAGCUACUAAUAAAUUGAUUACAGC